CUUGAACCCUGAUCAGUUGAAGUCUAACAAAUUUUACAGUUAUUUCGCAGGUGAUUAAUAGUGGGAUAAAAUGACAAGGACAGUCUUAAGAAUUCUUCCAGCUAACAAAGACAUUUAAAUAAAUUAAAGGAGUCCCAGUGUGUUGAAAAACUUGAAGUUAUUUCCCUGACAGUCAUUUGACAUCUGGUAAUAACCAUUAAUAUUUUCAAAGUAUUUUCUCUUCCCUUUCAGACAUGCUGGGGAGCUUUCUGAGCCCCUGGCUGUGUGGCUCUGUGACAGCAGCCUCCUCUUCUACAACAUCGGCUGGUACAAAAGCACACAGGGCUGGAAAUCAGCUGCCUUGCCCUCUACACUCCACACCAACUCUAAGACUUUGGCACGUCAAGCCUUGUUUCCAUUGAGGAUUUUAAUCUUGGCUGCACUUUUGAAGGUGGGGAGCUUUAAAACUAGAUACAUACGUCUGGGAUGCCAGCAGAUUUUCUGGUUUCCUACCACCAAGAUGGAAUGCCUACCUGAGAACAAGGGCGAAACGCAGGAAGGCCAUGCGGGCGGAUGGAGCUCCAGAAACACUGGUUGAAUGUCUGGACCCAGAUGCACCCGCGGCCAUCUCCCCGUGAACUUCUCAAGACCUGGGUACAUUCCUUCCUGCACUUAAGAAAGCAGAGUGAGGCUUCUGCCGCCUGUGUCUGAGGGACUCCUGACAAAGACAGCAGCCGGUCUGGAAAAACCCGUCUCAUGCUCUCACUUUUUGACACACUUUGCCAUUUUUGGAGAACAAGAUAGAUCAUGCUGAACAACUGAGAAAGGUGUGCUGUGCUCCUUCGGGUCCAUUACGGUCUGACCUUCUCUGCCAAGUAUCAUCCUGGACCUGGGAGCUCGUCAGAAAUGCAGAAUCUCAGGUCCCACCCCAUACCUGCUGCAUCCUAAUUUCCAUUUAACAGAAUCCCCAGGUGAAGUGCACGCACAUUAACGUCUGAGAAACGCUGCUCCAUAAAAUCCAUAUGGCCAAGUGACUUGCCCAGAGAAUGAUGAAUAUGUACCACAAAACCCUAUUAUCAUCAAUUCCAAGGGGCAAAGAACUCAUCCGUCUUUAAGUGGGGAAAAUAGCACAGGAUGUCAGUCCUGAAACUGGGUCGCCUUUGUGGGGAUUUGGGGAUUUGAAUUCUGCAAGGAGGGAUCAGGAAAGGCAGAUGUGCUGGAGCUUACCCUGUUCCAUCCACAAAUACG
rnacentral:lncRNA from 13 species